UACGUAGGGUGCAAGCGUUAAUCGGAAUUACUGGGCGUAAAGCGUGCGCAGGCGGUUCCGCAAGUCAGAUGUGAAAUCCCCGGGCUCAACCUGGGAACUGCAUUCGAGACUGCAUUGCUAGAGUAUGGGAGAGGGAAGUGGAAUUUCAGGUGUAGCGGUGAAAUGCGUAGAUAUCUGAAGGAACAUCAGUGGCGAAAGCGACUUCCUGGACCAAUACUGACGCUGAGGUGCGAAAAGCGUGGGGAGCA
rnacentral:rRNA from 1 species